rnacentral:tRNA from 1 species
UGGGGUGUGGUUCAGUGGAACAGCACUUGUCUAGUAUGCAUGAUGCCCUGGACUCAAUCCCCAGCACUACAA